rnacentral:rRNA from 1 species
GAUGAACGCUGGCGGCGUGCUUAACACAUGCAAGUCGAGCGAAGCUCCGUUCUGAUUUCUUCGGAUUGAAGGACGGAUGACUUAGCGGCGGACGGGUGAGUAACGCGUGGGUAACCUGCCUCAUACAGGGGAAUAACAGUUAGAAAUGACUGCUAAAGCCGCAUAAGCGCACAUUGCCGCAUGGCAGAGUGUGAAAAACUCCGGUGGUAUGAGAUGGACCCGCGUCUGAUUAGCCAGUUGGUGAGGUAACGGCCCACCAAAGCGACGAUCAGUAGCCGACUUGAGAGAGUGAUCGGCCACAUUGGGACUGAGACACGGCCCAGACUCCUACGGGAGGCAGCAGUGGGGAAUAUUGCACAAUGGGGGAAACCCUGAUGCAGCAACGCCGCGUGAGUGAAGAAGUAUUUCGGUAUGUAAAGCUCUAUCAGCAGGGAAGAAAAUGACGGUACCUGACUAAGAAGCCCCGGCUAACUACGUGCCAGCAGCCGCGGUAAUACGUAGGGGGCAAGCGUUAUCCGGAUUUACUGGGUGUAAAGGGAGCGCAGGCGGUAAUGCAAGUCAGAAGUGAAAGCCCGCGGCUUAACCGCGGGACUGCUUUUGAAACUGUAUAACUAGAUUGCAGGAGGGGUAAGCGGAAUUCCUGGUGUAGCGGUGAAAUGCGUAGAUAUCAGGAAGAACACCGGUGGCGAAGGCGGCUUACUGGACUGUAAAUGACGCUCAUGCUCGAAGGCGUGGGGAGCAAACAGGAUUAGAUACCCUGGUAGUCCACGCAGUAAACGACGAAUACUAGAUGUCGGGGCCCGAAGGGCUUCGGUGUCGCAGCAAACGCAAUAAGU